AGGGUUUGCUGGCGUCUCGGUUAAUAGCAGUAACGGCAGCCGCUUGUGUUCUUGAUUCUUUGCCAAGCAUUCUUGUUAUUUAACACGGGAAGGAGGUGACUUCGCCUGUGAUGGACUUCCAGUGUGAGCACUGGCCAGAGUGACCAGGCUGACCAGCACCAGCCCUGAUCCAGAUGCAGAGGCCAGGAUGUGGGCCCAGCCCUGUGCCAGGAGGCUGGCUGGAAUAAAGGGAUGGGCAGGCUGGCAUGGGGGCAGCCGCUGCCCCUGCCUGGGUGUUGCUGUGUAUUCCUGCCGGCCAGGGGCCACUGCCAGGACCACGCCUCCCUUUUCAUAUCCCGAUUCUUAAGUUCUGCUAUUGUGGUAUUCUGGUGGAGAAAAAAGAACCGCGUGGCUGUUUUUGAACUGCCUGGAACCUAAGACCCUGAAUUCUUUUCCCCCCCAAGGGGAAAAUCUAUAUGGAAAACAUUUAUUUUAAAAUACAGGAUGAAGUGAAUUAAAAGAUUUAAAUG
rnacentral:lncRNA from 1 species